GCGGUAAUACGGAGGGGGCAAGCGUUGUUCGGAAUUAUUGGGCGUAAAGGGCACGUAGGUGGACUAGUAAGUUAAAAGUGAAAUACCAAAGCUUAACUUUGGAGCGGCUUUUAAUACUGCUAGACUAGAGGUCGAAAGAGGAUAGCGGAAUUCCUAGUGUAGAGGUGAAAUUCGUAGAUAUUAGGAGGAACACCAGUGGCGAAGGCGGCUAUCUGGUUCGAUACUGACACUGAGGUGCGAAAGCG
rnacentral:rRNA from 1 species